rnacentral:lncRNA from 1 species
GGAGUUGGUUCUGACUGUGAGUGACUGUCGGGCACAGGGGCUGGGAGAGCCCAGCCCGGCUUGGCUUUCUCUUCAGGUACCUGCGGACAAGUCCCCAAGACAAAAGGCCCCAAAGGGCUACAGAAGCAACAGGAACUUGCUCUUUGGAUAAUUCUCCAGGAAGGGGGCGGGACACCCCGCACGCACGCAGUCCUGCUCUGGAAUCUGGACUCCCCGC